CUGUUUAACGGCCGCGGUAUCCUAACCGUGCGAAGGUAGCGUAAUCACUUGUUCUUUAAAUGAGGACUAGUAUGAACGGCUUCACGAGAGCUAUUCUGUCUCCUUUAUUUAAUCAGUUAAACUAAUCUUCCCGUGAAGAAGCGGGAAUAUUAAUAUAAGACGAGAAGACCCUGUGGAGCUUUAAACACUUCAGAACACUUGAUUUUUUCCGUUAAAAAUUUCCAAAACCUUUACUAAGCCUAUCAUAUUGUUUUAAGUUUUAGGUUGGGGUGACCACGGAGAUAAACCUAACCUCCACGUAGAAAGAAACUUAUUUCUAAGCAAAAAGCCACAUCUUUAUGCAUCAAUACAUUGACUUUAAUUGACCCAUUUACUUGAUCAACGAACCAAGUUACCCCAGGGAUAACAGCGCAAUCCGCCUUAAGAGCUCCUAUCGACAGGCGGGCUUACGACCUCGAUGUUGGAUCAGGGUGUCCUGGUGGUGCAGCAGCUACUAACGGUUCGUUUGUUCAACGAUUAAA
rnacentral:rRNA from 1 species